CUGAGAUCCCGUUCCACCCCCUUUCCUGCCCCCCCGGUUCCUGAGAGCCCGCACAACCCUCACUGGGCCCCCCAGCCCUAUGUGAGACUGCCCCGGCCCAGAGAUCUCCCUUCCCCUCCCAUUUUCCUGUUCUUCCAUCCACUCCCGAGAGCCCCGGGGCCCUCCCUUGUCUCCCCCAGAGCUGCGGGAGACCCCCCUGAGCCGCCCAUAUCCCCCUUUCCUGGCAGUGCCGCUCACCCUCCUCUCCUCAGAGCUCCCGAGACCACCCCUGGACCCCCAGUCCCUGUGAGUCCUCGUUCCCCACCCUCUGCUUUGAUCCUGAGAGCCCCUGGGACCCUCCCUGGGCCCCCCAGCCCUAUGGGAGACCCCCUGAGCCCCCCCGAGCCUCUCCCUUUUCUGCCUCAGCCUGGGGGGGUCCGGAGGGCUGAGCCGGUUCCAGCCCCUGUUUCCUCUUGUGGAAGGAUCAGCGGGACUGGGGUGUGUACAGGGGAUGUGGAGACCCCUCUUGUGUCCCCCAUCCCGGUGGCCACUCAGAGUCCCCCCUGCUCCAUGACCAUCAGGGAUUCCACUGCCCCCGUGUCCCGUGCUAUGAACGUUCGGCGUGACUUCUCCGCAAGCAGCUGCAAAUGAAAAUGGAGGAUAUGUCUUUGUCUGGCCUGGAUAACAGCAAACUGGAGGCCAUCGCACACGAGAUCUACACGGAGCUGGUGGAGGAUGCCUGCCUGGGGCUGUGCUUCGAGGUGCACCGGGCUGUCAAGUGCGGGUACUUCUUCCUGGAUGACACGGACCCCGACAGCAUGAAGGACUUUGGUGAGCCCCUCAGGUCCCCCAGAGUCGGGGUGACGCCCUGGGGGCACAGCUGGGGCACGGGUGGGAGGUGGCAGAGACCCCCUGGCAGCACUGCCGCCGGUUUCAGC
rnacentral:lncRNA from 1 species